rnacentral:rRNA from 1 species
AUUGAACGCUGGCGGCAGGCCUAACACAUGCAAGUCGAACGAGUGGCGGACGUGUGAGUAAUGUCUGGGAAAUUGCCUGAUGGAGGGGGAUAACUACUGGAAACGGUAGCUAAUACCGCAUACCCUCGGAUGUGCCAAGAGGGGAUUAGCUAGUAGGUGGGGUAACGGCUCACCUAGGCGACGAUCCCUAGCUGGUCUGAGAGGAUGACCAGCCACACGGGAACUGAGACACGGUCCAGACUCCUACGGGAGGCAGCAGUGGGGAAUAUUGCACAAUGGGCGCAAGCCGGAUGCAGCCAUGCCGCGUGUAUGAAGAAGGCCUUCGGGUUGUAAAGUACUUGCAGCGGGGAGGCGUUACCCGCAGAAGAAGCACCGGCUAACUCCGUGCCAGCAGCCGCGGUAAUUC